UCCCUCCGCCCUCUCCCUUCCCUCCCCGCACUCUCUCCCGGCUGCUCGGAGGUGCCGCCGUUCGUCGCCGUGAUGGCCGCGGUGACGAGGGGCACGGCCACGCGCCGCAGCCGGCUGAAGCGCUCGGACGGCAGCACCACGUCCACCAGCUUCAUCCUGCGGCAGGGCUCAGCAGAUUCGUACACAAGCAGACCCUCAGACUCUGAUGUGUCUUUGGAGGAGGACAGGGAAGCAAUCCGCCAGGAGAGAGAGCAGCAAGCGGCGAUACAGCUCGAAAGGGCAAAGUCCAAACCAGUAGCGUUUGCUGUUAAGACCAAUGUGAGUUACUGUGGAGCUCUGGAUGAAGAUGUCCCUGUCCCAAGCACUGCCAUCUCUUUUGAUGCAAAGGACUUCCUACACAUUAAAGAGAAAUACAAUAAUGACUGGUGGAUAGGGAGGCUGGUGAAGGAGGGCUGCGAAAUUGGUUUCAUUCCAAGUCCACUUAGACUGGAGAAUAUCCGCAUCCAGCAGGAGCAGAAGAGAGGCCGUUUCCAUGGAGGGAAAUCAAGUGGGAAUUCUUCUUCAAGUCUUGGAGAAAUGGUUUCUGGCACAUUUCGAGCCACACCUACUUCCACAGCAAAACAGAAACAGAAAGUGACAGAACACGUUCCCCCGUAUGACGUGGUGCCAUCAAUGAGGCCUGUUGUCUUAGUGGGGCCGUCGCUGAAAGGCUAUGAGGUGACAGACAUGAUGCAGAAAGCUCUCUUUGACUUCCUGAAGCACAGGUUUGAUGGGAGGAUAUCAAUAACCCGAGUGACAGCUGACAUUUCUCUUGCUAAGAGGUCUGUUCUGAAUAACCCAAGCAAGAGGGCAAUAAUUGAACGGUCAAACACACGAUCCAGUUUAGCUGAAGUGCAGAGUGAGAUUGAAAGGAUCUUUGAGCUGGCCCGGUCCUUGCAGCUGGUUGUCCUGGAUGCAGACACUAUCAAUCACCCCGCACAACUUAUCAAGACAUCUCUAGCACCAAUUAUUGUCCAUGUUAAAGUGUCUUCUCCAAAGGUUUUGCAGCGACUGAUUAAAUCUAGAGGAAAGUCACAAAGUAAACACUUGAAUGUUCAGUUGGUGGCGGCUGAUAAACUUGCACAAUGCCCACCAGAAAUGUUCGAUGUAAUUCUGGAUGAGAACCAGCUGGAAGAUGCUUGUGAGCACCUGGCAGAAUACCUGGAGGCGUACUGGCGUGCUACGCACACCACCAGUAGCACACCCAUGACUCCUCUUCUUGGGCGAAACUUAGGAUCCACGGCACUGUCCCCAUACCCUGCUGCGAUCUCUGGACUGCAGGGAUAGCUCAAAAACGGCUGAACUUUGACACUUCAAACGUGGCAUGUAAAUAGUCCUUAACGAGAAGUACGUGCUUUACUAAGUUUGAAAACAGAACGUGUUGGUGAAGCAAUAGUUGUGAAUGCUUGAGAAGAUCAGGACUGUAGUGAACUCUGAAGUCUGGGAGUUUCAGGUGUUUUGUGUGUGUGUGACUUCAUAGGAACGUGCGCUUCCUGAUGUAUGUCAAAAGCAGACUGAGCAAACGAAAUCUGAUGAAUGAUUCACCUGACAAAUUUAACCUCUGUUCUGCUUGUAGAAUGUCUGGAAGCAGGUAACGCUUUUGAAGGAGAUGACUCAUGGUUGAGCGUUUCCAAUGAGAACGAAGCUAUUUUUUCUGUGGGUGAAUGGCACUUCAUGCAGGUGCAUGGUGUUUGGUACUCACCUUUCUAAUGACGUGCUUGAUUUUAUUAGGCUCAGUGAGCCACUGUUUCCUGACUGGCUGAAUGCACAAGCACUGUUCUGUUACUAAUAAAGCACACGUGUAAAAUGUCGUUUCCAUUUUCACUUGCCUUAAGAUUUCAGUUUUCCAUCCCGUCAUGACAAUAAAAUGCCAUCUGUAGAACUGUCACCUCUUCAGUUUCAUUUUGAAAACUGGGUGUAUCCACAGAAUUUUUUUCAGGCAUUUAUUUCUCUCUGAUCAAUGGACACCAGCAGUGACUGUCAAAUGUUGCUCCAUUUACUUAGGGAAAACUCACACUGAAGAUGAAAAUCACCCCUGUGCAGUGGGCUGGCUGAAGAGCCAGCGUAUGAGGCACAGCAGCCAUUCUACAGAGAACUCUCCAAUUGAGCGACGAAGUCUCAUGACCUCAGAUGAAAAUUAUCACAACGAAAGGGCUCGGAAGAGCAGGAACCGCUUGUCUUCCAGUUCCCAACACAGCCGAGAUCACUAUCCUCUAGUGGAAGAAGAGUACUCUGACUCGUACCAGGACACUUACAAACCCCAUAGGAACCGAGGAUCCCCUGGAGGAUACAGCCAUGAUUCACGACACAGGCUUUGAGUUCAAGAACCUGGGGAAAAAUAGUAUUCAUCGGUUGAUAACUUGCCAUAACGUAGCUAGGAAAAACAAUCCACCUUAUUUUGGCAGAUGUAAUGCGGUUAUACUGAGGUUACACUGCUGUCAUUUGAUGUUCAGUAGGGGACAAAAGAGUUCUCAUGCCCUUACGUUUAUGCCCUGUCACAUAGAUUGUAUUUUGUUGGGUUUAUUUUUAGUACGGCAUUUACAUUUAUAGCCAUACCUUUUCUCAUCAUUAGAUAUUAGGCACAUCGGUUUGUAACUUAGGGUAAUUAUCGAGGCACUUAUAAAGUAAUUUCCUGUGCUGGAAAUUCCAAAUGACCAGUUCCAGUUGGAACCAAUUUAUAAACCAAUUCCUGUUGGAAUUUGGGUGAAUUGACUGGAAAGUCAACCUGAGCAUGUUGCAAUCGAGUGAAAAAGGUAAAAAUGAAGACUCUGAAAAUUAGAAAGCAGUAGAAGCCAGAAAGUCAACUACAGUGUUUGUUUGCUGGAAGCUCAAUUUACAUUUACAGUUAGAAUAAAAGCAUUUUAUCCUAACUUCUUACUUCCAGAAUGGCUCUUUCAGACAAACCAAAAGUAAACUGUUGAGAGUGCCAAAAUCACCAAUUAUUGCAGCAGUUACAAAAUGCUUUCCAGUUUGAAAUUAUUUUUAGAGCUGGCACGAAUGUUGCAGCAGAAUGAUUUCUUUAGCUUAGCCAGGACUGACGUUUGUGGUGGGGUCAGCAGUGACGAGCUCUGACACGGCAGGGGAGAACAGAAAGAGGAAAAUGGACAAACUUCAGGCCAGUUUGUGUGCGUAGAGGUUGACAGUAGUCUUUUUUUCUCUCUCUCUCUUGUUUACCUGAAUACAGCUAGAAGUCCCAAAAUCACAGAAUCGCAGAAUGGCCUGCGUUGCAAAGGCCCACAGUGCUCAUCCAGCUCCAACCCCCUGCUGUGUGCAGGGUCACCAACCAGCAGCCCAGGCUGCCCAGAGCCACAUCCAGCCUGGCCUUGAAUGCCUGCAGGGAUGGGGCAAAUGUAGUAGUAGGAGGAGGAGUACCAAAUCUGGUACCUGGAUAUAUAAUACUUUUUCUCCCAUUUUGAGUAUCCUGCCUUUUUAAAUGGAAAAUGAUACUUUUACCCAGUGUGUAGAGCACCUCCAUGCCCGUCCAUCUGAGCACCUGCAUGUUGCAACCUUCCAAAUGUGUCUCUGAAUGUCUGAAAAUUCCAGCAUUGCACAAGAACUCUGCAGAAGGACAUCAGGUUCAGUCCCAGUAGUGAAAUCUGAGGAAAGGGGGUGGGGUUAAUCAUCCCUAAUUGACAAAAGUGGAAAUAAUGCAAUCAUCAGAAUUAGCAUGCAAUAAAAAUGAGAAAAUAAUCGCUCACGUGUAGAGCUAACAUUUUUAAUUCCAAGAACGGCGAUAAAUCCCUGGAGAUAUUGCUGCCUUACUUCCUACCGAUCACUUCUUUUCACCUAUUGAGUCUUCAGUGUUUUUAAAUAGGUCGAUGUUUCUGAGUAGGCCGUAUGUCUUACAUCAUCAGUGAAGCCUUAGAUCCAGUGCGAUGGAAACCUGAGUGGAACUGAGGGUGUGUACAGCGCAGCCAUGUCUGUAAGCAGAGACUCCUGAAGUUCCACAAUGCAUGUUGUCUGACAGAACUGUGCUGAAGGUGCGUUUUGUGAUGCAGGGUCGUGACAAAAGGUUUUUCAAAGAUGAGGAUCGUGGAUUUUUGUAUCUGUGUAUCUUCCCCAGGGCGGGCUUUCACAGCAUGUAGCACGAAGAGAAUUUCCUAUUUAUUAGAGUUUCUUCCACUUUCUGGAGCAGUUAACAAAGAUCACGGAUAUUUUCCACCACCUGUGAGCCUGGUUAUCUUCUUGAUGUUAAAACGAGAAAAGGAAUUCAUCUCCUGUCAGGUACAGCCAAAAAUGACACACAUCUCCAGCAGCGUUACAAGAUCGUGGAUGCACGACUGAUUUGUUACACAAUUCUGCUGCCUCAAAGCCAACCUUAAACAUUACUGGAUGAUUCAGGCGGGCCCAUUGCCGAGAAAAAAAUAGAUAUUAAAUACCUGCAUCCAUUGGAGUAACAAGAGUUAGGGAUGGGUGUGACAGACCUGAUCCUGCUGGAUUUUCUCCAGCUGGACGCCCACAGAUUCCAAAAGUGCAUUUAGGCUGAGAAAGCGCAGCAGGAUCUGGUCUGGGAAUGGUAGCUCCAGCUGCCUUCUCUAGUAUUUCCUGCUACAGCACAGUGGAGCAUUCUCCAGUAAUCCUUACAAAUCUUUGUUACAUGUACAGCACACAUACCUGCAUGAGAAAGAAGGCAUUAGGCAAAACAUAUUUUCUAUAAGCUUUAAUGAGUUUCUUGUUUGUGUGCAUUAAAGUAUUAAUUGCAAAGGAUGCACUGAGAUGUAUAAAGCUAGAUUAGACAGCUGUUUAUCUUUAUUCUGUAGUAGCGUUAGGGAUCCGGUCAUUUAACUGCUUGAAGAUACUUGCAUUUUAAUGGCAGGUAGCUGUGAAGCACCUCCAUGUAUUUUCUAGUAAACAAGGUUACUGCUUUAUCAUUUCCUAGACAAAAAUGGCAUUUAUUUCUAGAGCCUUUUGGAGCCUUGUUUUUAAGUCUUCCAUGUCAUGCUACUAAAGGGAAAGAUUGAUACAAUGCAUAGGCAUAAAUCCCAUCACCUGCAGCAUCCGAAGUGCCAAAACGACUUCCUUUGUUCUAAUAGAAGCAAGCUUACAAGGGACAUUAUGUAUUGUCUUGGAAGAACCCAUUGAGGUCCUUUAUUAUAUGGGUUUAAGUUUACUGUUGUAUGUAAUUAGUUUACCCUCUUCGCUCCCAUUGCCCACUCCAUUUUGAAUAUAAGAAAUGGGUUAUAAAAGAUCCAGCAUUUCUCAUUGCUCGGUGUUUUUUCUUUGAGGACAGGUAUAUCUUUAAGCACAAAUAGGCUGAACAUGCUCGUGGGUUAUUCAUUUAUUCUAGAUACGAGCUACUGGAGCUCUUUCAUUUUACACAGUAAAUGAUUUUUAUGGAACACAGUAAUCAGUAAAAGCCGCAGUGUUGGUCAGGAUGUCAUAACUCGUGUUUGUGUUAGAGCUGCAGCAGUGCUAGCCAGCUGUAUUGUCAUCUGCUAUGCAGUGCUGCUGUAUACAGCUGUGAAGUUCAUGUAUUCCUCAAUGAAUACGGAUAAUCUUCCAGUCCUCAUACCGUUUCCCAAUAUUAUUACAGUAUUGCUAAGCAAAGGUCGGGGUUCUGUUCCUAAGCUCUGGCUUAUAUAGAGAAUUUUAGAUGGCUUUUUUUGUUACCUGAUGGUUUUUCCAUUAGGAAACUUGGGGUAACAGUAGCUCAGCCUAUGGGAGUGACAGGACAGUCUUAAUACCUAGAGGUAACAUAGGGCAGUGCAUUCGUGUGUUUGGGAUGAAUCGACAACGCAUCUUAAAACUUGAAGGGCCCUUUAAAGGCAACUCAUUGUUAAAUUGCUAAUUGAAAUACUUCCUUUUUGGCAGGUUGUAUUUAGCAGAUGUACGGCUUCAUUUACUGGCCAUGUAGCUGCACAUUUAUCCCAUGGGAAGUGCAACUCACAACUGGCUGUGUGUCUGCAGUGAGUAGAUGAUGAAAUUGCUGUUCAGAGGAACACAGUGGAAGCUGUUCUAUACAAAACUGUAGUUUAUAAACAGCGGGCCAGGUUCUGUGGUUGCUUUCUAAACAUUCAGCCUGGUAAAAAUCAGUUAAUCUGCUUGAGAAGUAAUAGUGCAGCAUGGCCCUACGCCUAGAUUGCACCUCAAGGAAUCCUCUGAGCCCUGGGCUGUGUUUGUGAUGAGCAGGAGGAGCUCCUGGAGCACACCCUGCCUUGGAUCUCAUGUUUCUGGCUUGCUGUGCUGGACCCAGGUAUGGUGGGCUGGGAGGUGGCUCUGAGGCUCCAGCUGGUUGCUGGUGGCCAUAGGCAGUGCUGGCGCUGGCUUUCUGCAAGGAGGAGCAGUGUCAUUGGUUUUUCUCCAGGUUUGAAAGCUUAUUCUCAGUUUGAUAACUGGGGUAGUAACCUUUUGUACCCCUUGCUUUUAUAAGCACAUCCCUGAGAGUGAAAAUGGCAAACAGGGAGUGGUGGCUGUAGGGUAACAAGGCAGUGACAGUUACUGAGAUGUGCACUGGCCCUCAGCUUACAGUUCAGGUUGACUGCAGGUCUGAAUCCCAUUUGGUCUCAGUACUGUGGAGUCCUCUGAAACCUCUCCAAAUCACUUUAACUGAUAUGGCUCUAAUGUUCUCAAUACAGUACUGCUAACUUAAAUAAGUGAGGGCUUUCCUUAGUUGUUUUUGCUUUAAAAAUAUCUUAAAAGUCACUCCGAUGGAUUUUGUUGUCCAAGUUGUGCGCUUUGUGAAGCCUGGCCUUGAUUCUGUGGUCUUCAUUUUUUUAAAGCAAAAGUUGACACCACGAAUAAGAAUCAGAUGCGUACUGGGUAAAAUAUCAGUCAUACAGGUCUGUUUUCACUCCUGAAAGUCAUUACCAUAAAACUGAGUUACAUUCCCCACACUGGACUAAGACCACAUUGGAAGUACAGGGUUUUCCUCCCGGAUGACAGCUUUAAUGUCAGCUUAGAUACAUGAGCCUUUGCUAUCUUUUGCUGCAGUUGCCUCUCAUUCCUUCAAAUCUGACUUCUCCAAAGGCACCGUAAUGUAGCCAGCUUUAACUUUAGGGGAAAAAUGAGGCCAAAAGAGAGUAUGUUCCUUCAAUGGCAGUCAUCUGAAUGAUGUUUGUUGGGUUGCUAUUCAAAUCCAGUUUAUUUGAUAUAGGAAAAGAAAGGUAUGCGUGUCUUUAAAAGUACAGGGCCAUUUAAAUAAUGCUGUAAAGUACAUGUGAGGUAUUCACUUAGAAAAGAGCUGAAGCUUCUACUUGGUAUCAAAACCUUUGUUAAGCUGGAGACAGAGAUGUCAUUCCUGAUGCACAAUCCAUUAAAGAAGAGCAGAUAAACCUUCCAAGUUAAUCCAUGCAGAAAGGUUUGGGAGAAGGCAGAAAUUAUUUGGAGACAGUAAUGAGAGCAUCAUUCAUUUCAUGACUCAUAGUGAAUUCCUUGGAAGGAGGUGAAGCUGGGAGCAGCACGGCCUUGGUCUCAGUGAUACUCUGGGCUUGCAUUUGGCCCCCAGGUUUCUUGGCAGUGAGUUUCUGUGUGGCCUGGGCCCUGCAAACACCCACUGCUGGGCACAGUGGGUAUUUCUGCCUUGUCUGAGGGUCAGUGCUUGCAGGGUCUGGUGUCACGUGCCACUUAUCACAUGCCUUACAAAUGGUUCCUGAAAUACAAAGUCAUGUGAACUGAUUGCCAGAGCCCCCCUUUGAGAUCGCUUCUACUCUGCAUACGUGGUAGGAAAUGAACAUAGUGAGGAAAUAAUGCCGUACAAUACCGAACCACCUAUUUUGCCAAUCGUGUGAAAACAGCAAGGGAAAAGAAGCACAUUUGUAAUAGCACAAACUUACGGUAAUUCCACUCUUGCAUUUGGCAUUGUGUUUUUGAAAAACAAAUAGGUAUUUUGAUCCAGCAUUACUGUAUUUAUUGCAUUUUGGAUCAGUUUAACUUGUUGCCUGAUACUGAAGCAUUUUCUUCCUAAGGCCUUGCAUUUUGCAUUUUGAUUUUUCAAUAACUCCUACUCCAUAUGAACUAAUGAAGAAAGACCCUUUUGAAAUGACAGAAUCCUGUAUUCAUUUCCGCUGAUCUCCUCCUCAGAACUGAAAUGCCAUGAAUAGAAGCAAACUUCUCAUUCAGGGUAUAGAUUCUGACCGAUGAAUAUAGCACUCCUGUCCGAGCAGCCCAAGGUCUGCAGUGCAAUUCCCCAGCCAGCUCUUGGGGCCGCAGUGCUGCACGCUGCUGUGUGCCAGCUGAGGGGGGUGGGUUGGGGGGAGAAGAACUUUGUAUCUAAAUCGCUGUGGGAGGGUCAGCCCCAAUGAGCCACUGAUACUGCUGUGCGUUCAGAACUGAAAGGACAGCAAGGUUGGGCUGCCCAGGCCCAGGAUGUGCUGCCAUUUGAACAGCCUGAUUCUCCUCUCGUGCACACAAAGUGAAGUUGCACAAGAAGCAUAGGAAGAGAAUCAGGCAAAGUGCGGUUCUGUGGAUGCAUGAGAAGCAGAGGGGCGAAGGAAAGGUGAAUGCUGCUCAGACUGCAAAGCGUGGACCUUGGGCUUUUCGGUUCCCAGCAAAUCUAUUCCUCACCCAAACUAGUUCCCAGUGCCAGCUGGGCUGUGCCCAGCCCCACCAGGAGCCGGUUUGGGGCACUUUGGUAAAGACAUGGCUGCCUUCACUCCAAAGUGAGACACACAGAUUCGUGUUUUCUGUUCUGCUGAUUUGCCCCUUUCGGUUUUUCCUUCUAGAUACUGUAUGUGUAGCAUUCUACAAGGCAUGCUGGG